CCGUGAACCGUGAGAUCAUGACCAUCGUGACCUGAGCCGAAGUUGGACGCUUAACCGACUGAGCCACCCAGGUGUCCCGCCCCGCAUGUAUUGCUUUUUAGUGAGUAAAACCUAAAAGGACAGUUACAAAGGGGCACUAGUUGCAGAGUCAGUACUGCAGCGUGGGUGCUGCCACGUCUAUUUUCCAUCCACCCCCAAACAAGUACUUCUGGGCCUGGUCUGCCCCCUCCCAAUUCUUACCUUCCCAUAGAGCGUGGUGGCACUGGCGUCACUCCUCUGCUCGUGCAUGGGGGCGAUGAGCGUCCACUGGUUGGUCUCUGGUUCAUAGCGCUCAGCAGUGUUGAGACGCACGUAGCCGUCAAAUCCUCCCAUGGCAUAAAUAAAAUUGCUGAGGACUGUCACACUGACGUAACAACGACGGGAGUGCAUCGGGGCCACCUGGUGCCACGUUUUCUUGACUGGGUCAAAACGCUUAACGCUAUUGAAAUAGUCUACACUGUCAAACCCCCCAAUGAUAUAAACGUAACCUUUCAAAUAGGCUGCCCCAUGAUAGGCACGGGGACUCUCUUCCUCACAAGUGACAUUCACCCAUCUGUCUGCCCGAGCAUCAUAUGCCUCAAUGGCAUUGGUGGGGCUCCCACCACUCCAGCCACCGAUUGCAAAUAGGAUGGCGUAGGGCAGGCGGGGCCUGGUGAGUGGGUUGGUGAAGUCAGAAUUGGAGGGUCCAUUCAUGUUUAGAUCAUACAUGGCCUUUAGGGCAUUAAUGAUGACUGGCUUGCAUUCCUCACUGUCUUUGACGUAGUCGUUCAUCUUAACAUUGUUCAUGAAGUACUCAGCAUGCAUUAGGGCCAGGCGAACCUGAGAAGGAAACACAAAGUCAGAUGAGGUGAAGGUACCUGGAAAACCCAUGUCCUUAACUCCCUGUUUACAGUCUGCCUUUGAAUUGCAGCAGGGUCUUAUUUUACUUUGUGUUUGUUUACUUGUGUUUACUUUGUGUUUACAGCUCACAGUUUUAAAUAUUUGUUUUUCAGAUGUGGUAUACAUUUGGAUGCUGACAAUGAGCUAGAUAGAAGGUCACAGAGCUAGCCCCUUCCUUGGCCGCUGGGCAGUACUAUUAGACCAUAAAAGGCUGUGGCAAUUGUUCAGUCAUUGAAUAUUUACGUUUCUCUGUAUAAAUAACACAAAUUAGCCCCGGAUGGCUACAAUUGUGUAUAACACUCGUGGUUUGGUGUCUAGUCCCACUUCUGCCUGGGGUUUGGGGAAACUCACAAGAAAAAAGGGUGAAAAGAAGGCCCUUUAGAAUUCUUUUGAAGGCCUUGCCGUCUCUUUCCCCCACUACCAGGGAGAAUUUUGGUCAAAGAAUAUAACAGAAGGAACUAGCAAUGCCAAGAGCAAAGAAAAUUGCACAAUUCCGCAGAAUAGUAGGAGAUGGCCUUCUAUGUAAGUGUGUGUAAAUACGGCCCCGGAAUCUGCCAAACAUCUGAACGUGGCUCUUUGCACAGUCCCUCCGGGAUAAAUGAACCAAACAUGAGCAAGUAAGCAUCCCACAAAAAAAUAACUAAACUUGACCUUGGGAAGCAAAACUGAAAUAUGCUGCUUCCUGUUUUGGGGGUCAUGAGAAAUCCAUUUUAAAAUGGCCUCAAAUACAGCAUCUUCUUGUUUGACGUUGAGCUCGUCUUUCUCAAUGAUAUCCUUCAGUUCACUGACUGAGAGCUCUAAAAACUCGGCCGAGACUUUCACCAUCUCCUCAAAGUUGUGCAGUAUGAACAUGUAGGCCUUCUGCUUCAGCUCGGGGCAGUAGUAGUAGUCUGUGAACUUGCAGAUGCCGAUACAGUUAUCCAAACACAGCUCCGACUUGAGGAACUCACAGCAACCCCUAACAAUACCCAUGAUGUUGAAUUGGUCUGCAGCAGCCAGCAGUUUCUCCACAUUGUCCGGUGUGAUAGGGAUGGUCCGGGUGUAUGCAUAUUCAAUAAUUAGCUUCAUCAUGUCCGGGGAAAUGCCAGGAAUGUUGUAUACCUUCUUUUCGGUGUUGUUCCAGCCACUUGUAAACAAAGCUCUGGAAAGAAGAAAGAAACUAGUAGCCACUGAAACAUUUCUCUCCAGUUUCUCCCCCACCUUUGUUUGUUGAGAGUUUGGAAAUUUCCCAGCUAGUGCACAGUGAGUAUGCCGGAAACAAAUUGGUGCGAAGAAGGGGAAGGGGAGGGUAGAGUGCGUGCUUUAUACAGUGGGCAAGAGAACCUUGCCAAGCACUUUGACUUUGGUCACUCUUCUUCUCCUCAUGGUAACUAAAACUUUCCCCCGUUUUGUGGAUGGAAAAAUUGGGCUCUAGACCUGGAAGUAAGACCUAGGUCUCUUCUAUCCCAACUGAAGUCUACCUUCCUUCAGGAAAUUAAACUUGAGCAUAACACUUUUUUAAUGAGCACUGUUAAAUUGACACAUCACCCAGAAUCUGAUCACACCUCUUACUGCUAUCUCCUGGGUCCAAGCCACCACCAUCUCUCACCUAGAUGAUUGGGAGUAACCUCCUAACUGAUCCCCCUGCUUCUGCCGUUGAUGCCUCUGGAGUUUACAGUUCUACCCCAACCUCCUUACGAGUUUAUGUUCCUCUUCCACUCAGAACCUUCCACUGAGAUCCCUUCUGGCUCAGAGUAUUAUUAUACAAAGCGCUUCUCAGGGAGCACAGAAGUCCUCUGAGAUCGGGACCAGUAAUACCUCUGGCCACCUCCUCCCACCUUCCCCCUUAUUCCAUUCCAGUCCCACUCGCCUUGCUUUCCUUGAAUGCACCCAGAGGUGCUUCAUUUUUGGUCCUUUGUAUAUGCUGUUGCCUCUUCCUGGAAGGCUCCCCCUCUGCAGACCUCAUUUCUCACUCCCACAUCCCCUUAAAGUCUUUGCUCAAAUGUCAUUUUGUCCACAAAGAGAUCAUCCUGUUUAAAAUCACCACCCUCCUCUCCAUACCUUCCUUUUCUCCCCCAGCACUUAAUCUGCUUUGUGUUUUAUUUACUGAACGCCUGUUCCUCCUACUAGAAGGUAAGCUUCAUGAGAACAGAAAUAUUUCUCUCUUUAUUCAUCAUUUCCAGUACCCAGAAUAGUGCCCGUCACAAAAUAAGCACUCAAUAAAUAAUUAUCAAAUGAACAAAUGACUACGAUCCCAAAACUAUGUAUUGGGCUCCUACUGUAUAGCUAGGUACUUUUUAAGUUGUUGAACAGGACAGAAGUCCCUACCCUAAUAAAUUUUUGCUUCCUUUUUCUAGGUGGUUUAAAGAAAUAUGGAUCAGAUUCUUCUCUAGAGCAGGGGUCUACAAACCUAUAGCCUCUGGGCCAGAUUCGACCCGCCUCUUUUUUUUGUACCGCCCAUAAGCUAAGAAUGUUUUUCACAUUUUUAAAUGGGGGGAACAGAAUACAAAGAUUCUGUGACACCUGGAAAUUGUAAUAAAUUCAAAUUUCUGUGUC